rnacentral:sRNA from 1 species
AAUCGAGAAAUUGAAAAAUCGGGAAAUUCGAAAAUCGGGAAAUCGGGAAAUAGGAAAAUCGAGAAAUCGGGAAAUCGAGAAAUCGAGAAACCAAGAAAGUAUUUUUGCUUUCUCGAUUUCUCGAUUUACCGAUUUCCCGAUUUUCGCUUUUUCGAUUUCCAAUUCUCGCAUUU